ensembl:lncRNA
GGCCAAGGAGAGCCCAUUUUGGGGUCAAACAAGUCUCCAUCUUUGGGGGCCUCAAAAUGGUCCAUUUGGGGGUCGAAAUUGGAGGUUUUUUGGGGUCCAAACAGCUUAUUUUGGAGCCAAAAUGAACAAUCUUUGGGUCAUAAUUGGGGGUUUUUGGGGCCAAAAGGGCAAUUUGGGUUCGAAAGGGGGUUAUUUUAGGGUCCAAAAAACCCCAUUUUGGGGUAAGAAAGGGGGAUUUUAGGGUCAGAAAGGGCCAUUUUGGGGCCAAAAAUGCCCAUUUUAGGGCCAAGAAGAGCCAUUUUUGGGUCAAAAAGUCCCAUUUUGGGGUCAAAAUGGGGGUUUUUGGGGCUAAAAAGGGCCAAUUUUAGGUCAGAAAGGGGGAUUUUAGGGUCCAAAAAACCUCAUUUUGGGGUCAGAAAGGGGGAUUUUAGGAUCAGAAAGUGCCAUUUUGGGUCCAAAAAUGACUAUUUUGGAUCUAAAAAGGCCCAUUUUGGGGUCAAAAAGUCUCAUUUUGGGGCAAAAAAUGACCAUUUUGGGUCCAAAUUGUGGGAUUCUGGGGUCAGAAAGUCCCAUUUUGGGGUGAAAAAGGCCCAUAUUAAGACAAAACUGGGGGUAUUUGGGGUCCAAAAAAGGCUGAUUUUGAGGUCAGAAAGGCCCAUUUUGGGUCCAAAAAUGACCAAUUUGGGGUCAAAUUCGGGGUUUUGGGAGCCAAAAAAGCCCAUUUUGGGGCUAGAAAAGCCCAUUUUAGGGCCAAGAAGAGCCAUUUUGGGGUCAAAAAGUCCCAUUUUGGGGCCAAAAAUCACCAUUUUGGGGUCGAAAUUGGGGGUUUUGGGGGUCAGAAAGUCCAUUUUGGUGUUAAAAAGGACCAUUUUGGGGUCAGAAAGUGCCAUUUUGGGGCCAAAAAUGACCAUUUUGGGGUCGAAAUUGGGGGUUUUUGGGGUACAAAAAGCCCAUUUUGGUGUUAAAAAGGACCAUUUUGGGGUCAGAAAGUGCCAUUUUGGGGCUAAAAAGGCCAUUUUGGGGUCAAAUUGGGGGUUUUGGGGGUCUAAAAAGCCCAUUUUUGGGCGAAAAAUGGUCAUUUUGGGGUCAAAUUGGGGGUUUUUGGGUCCAAAAAGCCUGAUUUUGGGGCCAAAAAUGACCAUUUUGGGGUCAAAAUUGGGAGUUUUUGGGGUCCAAACAGCCCAUUUUGGGGUCAAAAAUGGUCAUUUUGGGGUCAAAUUGGGGGUUUUUGGGGUCCCAAAAGCCCAUUUUGGGGCCAAAAAUGACCAUUUUGGGGUCGAAAUUGGGGGUUUUUGGGGCUAAAAUGGGCCAUUUUUAGGUCAGAAAGGGGGAUUUUAGGGUCCAAAAAACCCCAUUUUGGGGUCAGAAAGGGGGAUUUUAAGGUCAGAAAGGGCCAUUUUGGGGUCAAAAAUGACCAUUUUGGGGUCGAAAUUGGAGGUUUUUUGUGGCCAAAAAGGCCCAUUUUGGGGCUAAAAACGCCCAUUUUGGGGUCAGGAAGUGCCAUUUUGGGGCCAAAAAGGCCCAUUUUGGGGUCAGAAAUGACCAUUUUGGGGCCAACUUGGGGGAUAUUGGGGCCAAAUAGGCCCAUUUCGGGGCCAAAAAUGACCAUUUGGGGGUCAAAAUUGGGAGUUUUUGGGGUCAAAAAAGCCCAUUUUGGGCCGAAAAUGGCCAUUUUGGGGUCAAAUUGAGGGUUUUUGGGUCCAAAAUGCCUGAUUUUGGGGUCAAAAAGGCCAUUUUUGGGGUAAAAAACGCCAUUUUUGGGUCCUACCAAUGCCAUGUGUGACCCG